UACAGAGGGUGCGAGCGUUAAUCGGAAUUACUGGGCGUAAAGGGCGCGUAGGUGGUUAGAUAAGUUGGAUGUGAAAUCCCUGGGCUUAACCUAGGAACUGCAUACAAUACUGUUUAACUGGAGUGCAGUAGAGGGUAGUGGAAUUUCCGGUGUAGCGGUGAAAUGCGUAGAUAUCGGAAGGAACACCAGUGGCGAAGGCGGCUACCUGGACUGACACUGACGCUGAGGCACGAAAGCGUGGGUAGCAAACAGG
rnacentral:rRNA from 1 species